rnacentral:rRNA from 1 species
CCUACGGGGGGCUGCAGUCGAGAAUCAUUCACAAUGGGGGAAACUCUGAUGGUGCGACGCCGCGUGGGGGAAUGAAGGUCUUCGGAUUGUAAACCCCUGUCAUGUGGGAGCAAAUUAAAAAGAUAGUACCACAAGAGGAAGAGACGGCUAACUCUGUGCCAGCAGCCGCGGUAAUACAGCGGUCUCAAGCGGUGUUCGGAAUCACUGGGCGUAAAGGGUGCGUAGGCUGUUUCGUAAGUCGGGUGUGAAAGGCGCGGGCUCAACCGGCGGACGGCACAUGAUACUGCGAGACUAGAGUAAUGGAGGGGGAACCGGAAUUCUCGGUGUAGCAGUGAAAUGCGUAGAUAUCGAGAGGAACACUCGUGGCGAAGGCGGGUUCCUGGACAUUAACUGACGCUGAGGCACGAAGGCCAGGGGAGCGAAAGGGAUUAGAUACCCGAGUAGUC